UGGGGAAUUUUCCGCAAUGGGGGCAACCCUGACGGAGCAACGCCGCGUGGGGGAGGAAUGUCUGUGGAUUGUAAACCCCUUUUCUCUGGGAAGAAGGACUGACGGUACCAGAGGAAUCAGCAUCGGCUAACUCCGUGCCAGCAGCCGCGGUAAUACGGAGGGGGUUAGCGUUGUUCGGAAUUACUGGGCGUAAAGCGCGCGUAGGCGGACUAUUAAGUCAGGGGUGAAAUCCCGGGGCUCAACCCCGGAACUGCCUUUGAUACUGGUAGUCUUGAGUUCGAGAGAGGUGAGUGGAAUUCCGAGUGUAGAGGUGAAAUUCGUAGAUAUUCGGAGGAACACCAGUGGCGAAGGCGGCUCACUGGCUCGAUACUGACGCUGAGGUGCGAAAGCGUGGGGAGCAAACAGGAUUAGAUACCCGCGUAGUCC
rnacentral:rRNA from 1 species